UACGUAGGGUGCAAGCGUUGUCCGGAAUUAUUGGGCGUCAAGAGCUCGUAGGCGGUUUGUUGCGUCGGCUGUGAAAUCCCGAGGCUCAACCUCGGGUCUGCAGUCGAUACGAGCAAACUAGAGUGUUGCAGGGGAGACUGGAAUUCCUGGUGUAGCGGUGAAAUGCGCAGAUAUCAGGAGGAACACCGGUGGCGAAGGCGGCAUCCUGGACCGGCAUUGACGCUGAGGAGCGAAAGCUAGGGGAGCAAACGGG
rnacentral:rRNA from 1 species